rnacentral:siRNA from 1 species
UACAUGUUGUAGUUUCGGGCC